rnacentral:rRNA from 1 species
GAUGAACGCUGGCGGCGUGCCUAACACAUGCAAGUCGAACGGAGUAUAUUCGCUGCAGAGAUUUCGGUCGAAGCUUGAGUAUACUUAGUGGCGGACGGGUGAGUAACGCGUGGGCAACCUGCCUCAUACUGGGGGAUAGCAGUUGGAAACGACUGAUAAAACCGCAUAAGCGCACGGUACCGCAUGGUACAGUGUGAAAAACUCCGGUGGUAUGAGAUGGGCCCGCGUCAGAUUAGCUAGUUGGUGAGGUAAAGGCCCACCAAGGCGACGAUCUGUAGCCGGACUGAGAGGUCGGACGGCCACAUUGGGACUGAGACACGGCCCAAACUCC